CCUACGGGUGGCAGCAGUGGGGAAUAUUGGGCAAUGGGCGCAAGCCUGACCCAGCAACGCCGCGUGAAGGAAGAAGGCUUUCGGGUUGUAAACUUCUUUUAAGAGGGAAGAGCAGAAGACGGUACCUCUUGAAUAAGCCACGGCUAACGACGGGCCAGCAGCCGCGGUAAUACGUAGGUGGCAAGCGUUGUCCGGAUUUACUGGGUGUAAAGGGCGUGCAGCCGGGAAGACAAGUCAGAUGUGAAAUCCCGCGGCUCAACCGCGGAACUGCGUUUGAAACUGUUUUUCUUGAGUACCGGAGAGGUCAUCGCACUUCCUUGUGUAGCGGUGAACUGCGUAGAUCUCAGGCAGAACCCCAGUGGCGACGGCGGCUGACUGGACGGCAACUGACGGUGAGGCGCGAACGCGUGGGGAGCAAACCGGCUUAGAUACCCUUGUAGUC
rnacentral:rRNA from 1 species